GAUGAACGCUGGCGGCGUGCCUAAUACAUGCAAGUCGAGCGAACAGACGAGGAGCUUGCUCCUCUGACGUUAGCGGCGGACGGGUGAGUAACACGUGGAUAACCUACCUAUAAGACUGGGAUAACUUCGGGAAACCGGAGCUAAUACCGGAUAAUAUAUUGAACCGCAUGGUUCAAUAGUGAAAGACGGUUGUGCUGUCACUUAUAGAUGGAUCCGCGCCGCAUUAGCUAGUUGGUAAGGUAACGGCUUACCAAGGCAACGAUGCGUAGCCGACCUGAGAGGGUGGUCGCCCACACUGGAACUGGGACACGGUCCAGACUCCUACGGGAGGCAGCAGUAGGGAAUCUUCCGCAAUGGGCGAAAGCUUGACGGAGCAACGCCGCGUGAGUGAUGACGGUCUUCGGAUCGUAAAACUCUGUUAUUAGGGAAGAACAAAUGUGUAAGUAACUAUGCACGUCUUGACGGUACCUAAUCAGAAAGCCACGGCUAACUACGUG
rnacentral:rRNA from 1 species